ensembl:lncRNA
GUGUUAAACUUCCCGGCUCAUCUUGGAAGAGUACGUGCCAGAAAGACCACGACCAAGCAGCCUUGAGAUCUUAGGCAGCAUCUCCCUGAGUUCUGCCGGGCCAGCUCAGCUUCCCCUCAGAAGAAGUGACGCCACCUGCCAGAUGAAGGAGCCUUUUGAGAGGCAGCUGGCAUCGUGAUUGGACUGUACUUUGGUCUGUUCCAAUCCAGCUUCAGCUCCAGAGACGGCAGGCGGGACGAGUCAACGGAGGCCAGGUGGACGAAGGCAUGAAGCUGAGUACAAUCUAGAAAACAACAGAGGAGGAGUGCAGCAUCGUAUGUCUCUUAGAAAACAUCAUAGUAUAGCCUUUGGUAUGAAAAAAGGCCAUCAUAUACAUCAUAUAUUGUACAAAUAACAAGUCAAAGCAAAGAGACAUACAUUGUAGAAUUGUAGUAAUUGUGGGCUGACUGAUUUACUGAUUAUCAGUAUUUUAUUUUUUACUGAUUUACGGUAAUAAAUACAUUUAAAAAUGGCGCUACUUUGGCUCUGAACCUUUAUCUACCUGGUCGCUCUGUCUUCUGGAGUGAUUUGAUUGGUUAUACGUAACGAAUAAAACUCC